UACGUAGGGUGCAAGCGUUGUCCGGAAUUAUUGGGCGUAAAGAGCUCGUAGGCGGUUUGUCGCGUCUGCUGUGAAAACCCGAGGCUCAACCUCGGGCCUGCAGUGGGUACGGGCAGACUAGAGUGCGGUAGGGGAGAUUGGAAUUCCUGGUGUAGCGGUGGAAUGCGCAGAGUAUCAGGAGGAACACCAAUGGCGAAGGCAGAUCUCUGGGCCGUAACUGACGCUGAGGAGCGAAAGCAUGGGGAGCGAACAGG
rnacentral:rRNA from 1 species